rnacentral:rRNA from 1 species
UACGGAGGGGGCGAGCGUUGUCCGAAGUUACUGGGCGUAAAGCGCGCGUAGGCGGGGCCACAAGUCCGCUGUGAAAGCCCGAGGCUCAACCUCGGAGGGUCGGUGGAGACUGUGGCUCUUGAAGAUGCUAGGGGGAGAUGGAAUUACCGGUGUAGCGGUGAAAUGCGUAGAGAUCGGUAGGAACACCAGUGGCGAAGGCGGUCUCCUGGGGCAUUCUUGACGCUGAUGCGCGAAAGCUGGGGGAGCGAACGGG